AUUGAACGCUGGCGGUAUGCCUUACACAUGCAAGUCGAACGGUAGAGGGGCAACCCUUGAGAGUGGCGAACGGGUGAGUAAUACAUCGGAACGUGCCCAGUCGUGAGGGAUAACGUAGCGAAAGCUACGCUAAUACCGCAUACGACCCGAGGGUGAAAGCGGGGGAUCGCAAGACCUCGCGCGAUUGGAGCGGCCGAUGGCAGAUUAGGUAGUUGGUGGGGUAAUGGCCUACCAAGCCUGCGAUCUGUAGCUGGUCUGAGAGGACGACCAGCCACACUGGGACUGAGACACGGCCCAGACUCCUACGGGAGGCAGCAGUGGGGAAUUUUGGACAAUGGGCGCAAGCCUGAUCCAGCCAUACCGCGUGCGGGAAGAAGGCCUUCGGGUUGUAAACCGCUUUUGUCAGGGAAGAAAUCUUCUGGGCUAAUACCUCGGGAGGAUGACGGUACCUGAAGAAUAAGCACCGGCUAACUACGUGCCAGCCGCCGCCGUAAUAC
rnacentral:rRNA from 1 species